GGUAGCAUGGCCGAGCGGUCUAAGGCGCUGGUUUAAGGCACCAGUCAUUUCGAUGGCGUGGGUUGGAAUCCCACUGCUGCCA
rnacentral:tRNA from 1 species